CAGUAGCCGCGGGAAUACGAGGGGGGCAAGCGUUGUUCGGAUUUAUUGGGCGUAAAGGGUGCGUAGGCGGUUUGGCAAGUCUUGUGUGAAAUCUUCGGGCUCAACCCGAAGCCUGCACGAGAAACUACCGGGCUUGAGUAUUGGAGAGGUGAGUGGAAUUUCCGGUGUAGCGGUGAAAUGCGUAGAUAUCGGAAGGAACACCUGUGGCGAAAGCGGCUCACUGGACAAUAACUGACGCUGAUGCACGAAAGCUAGGGGAGCAAACAGGAUUAGAUACCCCCGUAGUCCCUGUCUCUUAUAC
rnacentral:rRNA from 1 species